ACCCGCUGAACUUAAGCAUAUCAGUAAGCGGAGGAAAAGAAACUAACUAGGAUUCCCCGAGUAGCGGCGAGCGAAAGGGGAGAAGCCCAGCGCCGAAGCCCGCGGCCUCCGGUCGCCGGGCAAUGUGGCGUUUCGGUGGCGGCUCGCCGCGAUCGCUCCGGCACGAGUACCUCUGAAUGGGUCUGCCCGCAGCGGGUGUCAGGCCUCUACUCGCCGACGAGUGGACGCGGCUCGCCGUUCAUCGCGGAGUCGGGUUGCUUGAGAGUGCAGCCCAAAGUGGGUGGUAAGCUCCAUCUAAGGCUAAAUACCUAGUGCGAGACCGAUAGCAAACAAGUACCGUGAGGGAAAGUUGCAAAGAACUUUGAAAAGAGAGUUCAAGAGUACGUGAAACCGUUCAGAGGCAAACGGACGGAACUGGGCGAGUUCGCCGCCGCCAUUCAGCCGUGGCCUCGGCCGCGGUGCACUUGGCGGCGGCGGAGCGCGACGACCGCCUGCCCGGUCGUCAGAAGCCCGGCGGCAAGGUGGCGACGCGUUCGCGCGUCGUGUUACAGGCCGCCGAGGCGCAGGCAGACCGGGCGGGCGAGGAGCGCCCGCGGCGCACUCCCUUCGCGGGAGUGACCCGACGCGGUGGGCUUGCGGACGCCGGCGGCGAACUGCUUGCAGUUCGUCGUCGCGACGCUCCGUCUGUCGUGCCGCGCGGUGUCACGCAGCGCCGAGGGUCCGGGUCGCGUGGUUCCCGGCACUCCGUCCGACCCGUCUUGAAACACGGACCAAGGAGUUGAGCACGCGCGCGAGUCGAUGGGCUCGAAGAACCCCAAAGGCGCAGCUAAGGCAAAACGGGCGUGAUCUGGCACUCGUGUGUCGGCGCAACGCCGGCCCGCAGUCGACUCGUUGCAAGUGGCUGCGGCGCAAGAGCGCGCGUGCUCAGACCCGAAAGGUGGUGAACUAUGCUUGAGCAGGGCGAAGCCAGAGGAAACUCUGGUGGAGGCUCGCAGCGAUCCUGACGUGCAAAUCGGUCGUCAAACUUGAGCAUAGGGGCGAAAGACUAAUCGAACCGCCUAGUAGCUGGUUCCCUCCGAAGUUUCCCUCAGGAUAGCUGGCACUUGGGAUAAAUGGUUUUAUCCGGUAAAGCGAAUGAUUAGAGGCAUUGGGGACGAAACGUCCUCAACCUAUUCUCAAACUUUAAAUGGGUAAGAGGCGCGACCCUUCCUUAUCGGGGUCGCGUGCUCGAACAGAAAGUGCCCAGUGGGCCGUUUUUGGUAAGCAGAACUGGCGCUGUGGGAUGAACCAAACGCGCGGUUAGGGUGCCUAACGCGCACGCUCAUGAGACACCACAAAAGGUGUUGGUUGAUAUAGACAGCAGGACGGUGGCCAUGGAAGUCGGAAUCCGCUAAGGAGUGUGUAACAACUCACCUGCCGAAUCAACUAGCCCUGAAAAUGGAUGGCGCUAGAGCGUGCGACCCAUACCGCGCCGUCGGGGCAAUGCGUGCGAAAUGCCAGGCCCCGACGAGUAGGAGGGCGUGUCGGUGGCGCUGAAGCGUAGUGCGCGAGCACGCGUGGAGCCGCCUUCAGUGCAGAUCUUGGUGGUAGUAGCAAGUAUACAAAUGAGAACUUUGUAGACCGAAGUGGAGAAGGGUUCCAUGUGAACAGCAGUUGGACAUGGGUCAGUCGGCCCUAAGAGAUCGGAAAAUUCCGUUCUGAACGGGGGAGGUUAGACGUGAGCCGUCUGAAUGAGAGCGACAGGCCUCUGCGUUGCGGACCCCUAUCGUGGACCGUGCCGCAGGGUUGGCCGGCUGUAGUUUACCAAGGCGGGCUGGGCGCGCGUGUGAGGCGCGCGCUUAUUGAGACCCGUGGCGGCGCAGAACGACACGUGCUAUGCAUCCCCCGAUUCGAUCGAAAGGGAAUCGGGUUAAUAUUCCCGAACCUGGUGGUGGAGAUCGGGCCCUCGGGCCCCAGUGCGGUAACGCAACCGAACUCGGAGACGCCAGCGUCGAUCCCGGGAAGAGUUCUCUUUUCUUUGUUAGGAGCGGACUCCCUGGAAUUGGCUUGUCCAGAGAUAGGGACGUUGCAUCCGUAAAGCGUCGCGCCUCACGCGGCGUCCGGUGCAUCGGCGUUGGCCCUUGAAAAUCCGAGGAAGGCAGUGUGAUUUUCACCCCAGGCCGUACCCGAAUCCGCAGCAGGUCUCCAAGGUGAACAGCCUCUGGUCGAUAGAACAAUGUAGGUAAGGGAAGUCGGCAAAUCCGAUCCGUAACUUCGGGAUAAGGAUUGGCUCUGAGGUGCGGGCUGCUUCGGGUCGCGGCAAGAAGCGGACCGCGCGUCGGUAGGACUGGACGCGCCUAGUGCGCGUUCGGACCGCCGCCGGCGCGCGUCCGUGGGCGGCCGUGGCUUUCGCCGGCGGUGGCUCUCGCGGGCUGCCGUCGGCUUCGUUCGGCCUAAACGCACAGCACAGAACUGUCGCGGACUCUGGGAACACGACUGUCUAAUUAAAACAAAGCAUCGCGAUGGCCGCGGGGCGGUGUUGACGCGAUGUGAUUUCUGCCCAGUGCUUUGAAUGUCAAAGUGAAGAAAUUCAACCAAGCGCAGGUAAACGGCGGGAGUAACUAUGACUCUCUUAA
rnacentral:rRNA from 1 species